rnacentral:misc_RNA from 1 species
GUUUUGUUCCAAGUGCCAAAGAAAGAUCAUUAAAUAAAAUAAAAAAAGAAAAAAGAGUGCACUACCUAAAUAAACCAAUUAUGCAGAUGACAUUAUUGGGUCAUGCUGGGAUAAGUUUAAACAUUGCAAUAAUUCCACAUAAUUUGAUAACUUGAUUGAGCGUGCAAAAAAUUACUUACAGGUUUCUUCUUUGCCAAAACUG